CAUCGGUAUGCCGAUCGCUAUCGACAGGACCGUACAGACGAAGAUCAUCGAGAUCGUCUUCAUCGUGUCGUCCCACAUGUCGAGAUAGCCGAUGAGGAGCAGGGUACCG
rnacentral:sRNA from 1 species